GUGUGUGAUGUAGGGAGAGAAGAGGGAUGACACAUCCAUUUCAUGGGGGCUGGGAGGUUUACUAAGUCUCCACAGAGUUUAACCUUGAAAAGUGACUGGAAAUCCAGCCAACACUCUGAGAGUAAAAGAAGACUUAAAACUCCAGGCCGAGGAUGCGGGAAGCUGAAAUUGUUCAGGCGACAGAGAAGGAACCGGUGGAGAGAUCCUGAUGUUGACAUGCAGGGAGUGUUCAACAUUGCCUUUGCAGCAGGGUGCUGGAAGAGAGAGAAAGAAACAGACUGUGGUGGAGAGGUUGGCCUGGGGUAAGAAGGAUUCUCCCGCCUUUGAGUCACUAAGGGGAUCACAGACCUCCGGACAUACUUAAUGCAAGCUCUCAGUCAUUGCUCCAGCACCAUGCCUACCUGCUGCCAUGCUUCCAUCAAGAUGAUCAUGGGGCAGGUGGGCAGAAGUCAACCAGAGGCCCACACAGGUGGCCAGGUGCCACUUUGAGUGAUUAUGUGAAGGGAGAGAUGGGAGAGAAAGAGAAGAAGAGCACUUUGUGCACUGUGAAGAGAGACAGAGCUGGAGAUGCAAGAUAAAGGACGGUGAGAUAUCGCACAAUGUGAGUGACCUGUGCUGCCACUGAAGGCCAUGUGUUUGUCUGUGACCCUACUGCAGCAGGAGUCUGUGUCAAAAUGUCUGUGGCCCAAGUUGCCACCAAUGACCAUUAGGAUGUCCAUUGUCCGGGAUGUCGCCUGGAACCCUGUUGAUGUCUGAAGGCUUAGCUGAGCCUGCUCUGCCCCUCACCUGCUGCUGUAGUCCAAGGGUGGAAGAGCUGGCCUUGAAGGUGUGAGCAUGGAGAGCUGUCCUCCUCCAGCUGUGGUACUCAGGAGAGCUGGCCUCACACCUUGCCUGGACAUUGCAGGAGAGCUGGCCCUGGUGGCUUGGGCAUGGGAGAGCUGGUAGUUGACCAACACAGCUAACAUGCAGGCCCAGCUCCAGGGCACUGACUUGGCCCAUCCCAGCAUCUACCUCAUUUGUGAGCUACUGGAGUAUAUGAACCAAAGCUGCAGGAUCUCCACAACACAGGGAACAACAGGAUAUCCAAGAGGAGUCCUGUUGAGGAUCCAGUAUUUACAGUGUAGCAGAAGCCAGAGGCUUCAAAGCAGACUAGUGACUCACUGCGAUGGACAUUUGCAAGCAAAGCUGUGUGGGCAAACGGGUACACAGUGUGACACACUGUGACACACCACAGCUUCCACAGUGAGAGUUUUAAUUAAAAAAAAUUUUUUUUUGUUUUCUUAUAUGAAGAGGUUGCAAGGGCAGACAUUGAGGAACUGAGAGAUGAGUGGGAUUGGGUUGUAUGAUUUGAAAUUCUUAAAGAAUCAAUAAAAAGUU
rnacentral:lncRNA from 1 species